UAAAACAUACUAUUAGAUAGGUAUUCAUUUACAAUGAAUUUUAUUUCUGUGCAAAUCGGAAUGUUUUAA
rnacentral:tRNA from 1 species